AAUACAAAGAAGAGGCUAAGGAAAAGUAUUUCCCCAGUAGAGGCCCUCUUCAGGGUGUUCUCAUAAGCCCUAUUGGGUGUGGCCAAAACAGAGAUACCAGCAGCUGAGGUUUUUCUUUCCAGAGGCAUUGAGGCUUAAGACCCCUGUCUGCUUUGGGGAAGAGUCUCCCCUGGAACAAUAAAUCAGCUCGGAGAAGGAAAGGUCUGGUAAAGGAUGUGCUACUGGGAGGAACUGAAGCCUGAGAUGACACUAGAUAAUGUGAAGUAACACUUCUGUAAUACUGCUGGAUCUCCAGCUGAAUAGAUUUUUUUUCCAUCUUUAGGCUUGCUCUUCUGUUCCGGCCAGUUGUGCAAACCAGAGGAAACUGCAUGAUUAGAAUGAAUGAUCCCAUGAGGAACAAGAACAGACAUGGAAAGCAUUGCCUCGCUCAAACCAUAACUCUUAGAGGAAGAACUGAGGGGAUUAUUCAAAAAUAUGACUCUGCCUACAUGGAGUGUGAAGUGGCACAAUCUAUUCUAC